rnacentral:rRNA from 1 species
AGUGAACGCUGGCGGUAGGCCUAACACAUGCAAGUCGAACGGCAGCACAGUAAGAGCUUGCUCUUACGGGUGGCGAGUGGCGGACGGGUGAGGAAUACAUCGGAAUCUACUUUUUCGUGGGGGAUAACGUAGGGAAACUUACGCUAAUACCGCAUACGACCUACGGGUGAAAGCAGGGGAUCUUCGGACCUUGCGCGAUUGAAUGAGCCGAUGUCGGAUUAGCUAGUUGGCGGGGUAAAGGCCCACCAAGGCGACGAUCCGUAGCUGGUCUGAGAGGAUGAUCAGCCUCACUGGAACUGAGACACGGUCCAGACUCCUACGGGAGGCAGCAGUGGGGAAUAUUGGACAAUGGGCGCAAGCCUGAUCCAGCCAUACCGCGUGGGUGAAGAAGGCCUUCGGGUUGUAAAGCCCUUUUGUUGGGAAAGAAAAGCAGCAGGUUAAUACCCCGCUGUUCUGACGGUACCCAAAGAAUAAGCACCGGCGAACUUCGU